rnacentral:pre_miRNA from 1 species
AUCUGUUCACAUCUUACCGGGCAGCAUUAGAUCCUUUUAAUAACUCUAAUACUGUCAGGUAAAGAUGUCGUCCGU